UGGGGAAUAUUGGGCAAUGGGCGAAAGCCUGACCCAGCAACGCCGCGUGAGGGAAGAAGGUUUUCGGAUUGUAAACCUCUGUCCUAAGGGACGAAGGAAGUGACGGUACCUUAGGAGGAAGCCCCGGCUAACUACGUGCC
rnacentral:rRNA from 1 species